UACGAGGGGGGCGAGCGUUGUUCGGAAUUAUUGGGCGUAAAGGGUGCGUAGGCGGUUUUCUAAGUUUGGUGUGAAAUCUCCCGGCUCAACUGGGAGGGUGCGCCGAAGACUGGAAGGCUUGAGUAUGGGAGAGGUAAGCGGAAUUCCUGGUGUAGCGGUGAAAUGCGUAGAUAUCAGGAGGAACACCUGCGGUGUAGACGGCUUACUGGACCAUAACUGACGCUGAGGCACGAAAGCGUGGGUAGCAAACAGG
rnacentral:rRNA from 1 species